rnacentral:misc_RNA from 1 species
GAUGAAGAACGUAGCGAAAUGCGAUACUUGGUGUGAAUUGCAGAAUCCCGUGAACCAUCGAGUCUUUGAACGCAAGUUGCGCCCGAAGCCAUUCGGCCGAGGGCACGCCUGCCUGGGCGUCACACGUCGUUGCCCCCCCAUCUACUCCUUCGGGAUUGCGGGGGGCGGAUGAUGGCCUCCCGUGCGCCUCGUCGCGCGGUUGGCAUAAAUGCCAAGUCCUCGGCGACGCACGCCACGACAAUCGGUGGUUGCGAAACCUCGGUUGCCCGUCGUGUGCGGUCGUCGCGCAUCGAGGGCUCGAAAAAAUUGCCGGGCUCCGGCUCGGCUUUCAACGCGACCCCAGGUCAGGCGGGGUUACCCGCUGAAUUUAAGCAUAUCAAUAAGCGGAGGA